rnacentral:rRNA from 1 species
GAUGAACGCUGGCGGCGUGCCUAAUACAUGCAAGUCGAGCGAACAGACGAGGAGCUUGCUCCUCUGACGUUAGCGGCGGACGGGUGAGUAACACGUGGAUAACCUACCUAUAAGACUGGGAUAACUUCGGGAAACCGGAGCUAAUACCGGAUAAUAUAUUGAACCGCAUGGUUCAAUAGUGAAGGACGGUUUUGCUGUCACUUAUAGAUGGAUCCGCGCCGCAUUAGCUAGUUGGUAAGGUAACGGCUUACCAAGGCAACGAUGCGUAGCCGACCUGAGAGGGGGAUCGGCCAAACUGGAACUUGGACACGGUCCAGGCUCCUACGGGAGGCAGCAGUAGGGAAUCUUCCGGAAUGGGCGAAAGCCUGACGGGGCAACGGCGCGUGAGUGAUGAAGGUCUUCGGAUCGUAAAACUCUGUUAUUAGGGAAGAACAAAUGUGUAAGUAACUAUGCACGUCUUGACGGUACCUAAUCAGAAAGCCACGGCUAACUACGUG